rnacentral:rRNA from 1 species
CGCAAUGGACGAAAGUCUGACGGAGCAACGCCGCGUGAGUGAUGAAGGCUUUCGGGUCGUAAAACUCUGUUGUUAGGGAAGAACAAGUACAAGAGUAACUACUUGUACCUUGACGGUACCUAACCAGAAAGCCACGGCUAACUACGUGCCAGCAG